rnacentral:rRNA from 1 species
CAGUCGCCGCGGUAAUACGAGGGGGGCAAGCGUUGUUCGGAAUUAUUGGGCGUAAAGGGCUCGCAGGCGGUUUCUUAAGUCUGAUGUGAAAGCCCCCGGCUCAACCGGGGAGGGUCAUUGGAAACUGGGAAACUUGAGUGCAGAAGAGGAGAGUGGAAUUCCACGUGUAGCGGUGAAAUGCGUAGAGAUGUGGAGGAACACCAGUGGCGAAGGCGACUCUCUGGUCUGUAACUGACGCUGAGGAGCGAAAGCGUGGGGAGCGAACAGGAUUAGAUACCCCGGUAGUCCCUGUCUCUUAUAC